rnacentral:rRNA from 1 species
CCUACGGGUGGCAGCAGUGGGGAAUAUUGCGCAAUGGGCGAAAGCCUGACGCAGCGACGCCGCGUGAGGGAUGAAGGUCUUCUGAUCGGAAACCUCUGUCAGCAGGGAAGAAAGGUCACUGAGCUAAUCAGCAGUGAAUUGACGGGACCUGCAAAGGAAGCACCGGCUAACACCGUGCCAGCAGCCGCGGUAAUACGGAGGGUGCGAGCGUUAAUCGGAAUUACUGGGCGUAAAGCGCUCGUAGGCGGUAUGUCAAGUAAAGGGUGAAGUCCCCGCGCUCAACGUGGGCACUGCCUUUGAAACUGGCAAACUGGAGUGUGUGAGAGGAUAGUGGAAUGCCAGGUGUAGGAGUGAAAUCCGUAGAUAUCUGGAGGAACAUCAGUGGCGAAGGCGACUAUCUGGCACAUAACUGACGCUGAGGAGCGAAAGCGUGGGUAGCAAACAGGAUUAGAUACCCGAGUAGUC